rnacentral:rRNA from 1 species
AGUCACUGACAUUAGAUACCCCGGUAGUCCAGGGUGUAAACGCUGCAGACUUGGUGUUGGAAGUCCUUUGGGGGCAUUCAGUGCCGGAGAGAAGUUGUUAAGUCUGCUACUUGGGGAGUACGUCCGCAAGGAUGAAACUUAAAGGAAUUGGCGGGGGAGCACCGCAACGGGAGGAGCGUGCGGUUUAAUUGGAUUCAACACCGUAAACUCACCAGGGAAGACUGUUACAUGAAAGCCGAGAUGAAGACUCUGCUAGAUUUUCAG